rnacentral:rRNA from 1 species
AUGGCGUUGGAGGUCAGCUCAGCGGUGCCGUCUCUUGAUAAGCUGCUCAAGGGUGACUGGGGCAUGGACAAGACCGUGAAGGGCGAGCUGUGGAACCUGCAGGCCGAGCUGAGCAGCAUGCACGAUUUCCUUGAUGAUGUAUCCAGCAUGCCGCCGAGCCAGCUCGAAUCGAGUGUGAUGCUCAGGGUGCCCCAGGUCAGGGAGCUAUCUUGUGCCAUCGAGACACGCCUCCACUCCUUCAUGGAGGACACCUUUCUUCCUGGCGCGAGCAAGCGCAAAAUUAACCAUGAGAUAGCCACCUACAUCAAAGAAACACUCAUCAAGUUUAUGGAGAUGCAUCAACAGUAUGGUCCGUAUCCUUGUAGGGGUUCCCUGCAUAGUACUUCCACAUGGGACCCUGGUAUGUUUGCCAUGUCCCCCGGGGUAAGCGAAUCUAGCCUGCUUGUUGGUAUGGAAGGGCCAAUUGCCGAGCUAACCAACAAGCUGUCGAAGGGUGAUCAUGUCUCCAUUGUCGGGAUGGGGGGAAUGGGCAAGACCACCCUUGCUCAAGCAGUCUACGGCGAGAUGAAGACGAAAGGGGGCUUUGAUUGUGAGGCCUUUGUCUUCGUCGGUCUGAGAGCUGACAUGAAGAAGGUUCUGACCAACAUCUUCGACAAACUUCACAUAGAUAUUUAUGGUCACGAACCAGACCAACACCAGCAAAUCAGCCAGCUGCAGAACUUCUUGGUGGAUAAGAGGUGCUUAUUUGUCAUUGAUGAUAUAUGGGAUAUGGAAACAUGUUGCUUCGUUGAACGUGUUUUAAAGGGCGGUGUUGGAAGUAAACUCAUCACCACGACUCGUAACCUCAAUAUUGCCAAAGGAGUUGGUGGCGUCGUGUACACACUGAGGCCGCUCCACCCUGUCAAGGCGUAUGAGUUACUCCGUGCCAAAGCUGGGGCUGAAAGAUAUGAACAUCAAUUUGUCAUGGUGCCAGAUAAAAGAAUGUUGCUUAAAUGUGGUGGUGUGCCAAUAGCCAUCAUUAUGAUAGGUAGAGUGUUUGUCAGAAAUCAAUUCAAGGGGAGGCGGCGGUGUGUAGGGUGUAUGAGCACAGGGAGGACGAGGGCUUUCCGGUACAUAAGGAAGGUGUUGUCUUAUAGCUUUUAUGAUCUACCCUAUAAUAUCAAGCAAUGCUUUCUGUACCUAAGCCUAUUCCCAGAAGACCACUGGAUCGAGAAGAAUAUGCUGAUAUGGAGGUGGGUAGCAGAAGGCCUUGUUCCUGAUGGGUUAUUUGAAACUGGGGAGACCUAUUUCAACGAGCUACUAGAUAGGUGCAUGAUCCAGUGGGCGGUGAGCCCUCUUGACCCCAGCCAAGGUGGCUGCCGUGUCCACGUUUUGAUGCUUGACCUCAUCAGACACCUGUCAAGCAGCGAGAACGUCUCCACUGUUAUAGGCAUAAAUCAGCAGGAGAGCACAUCCCAAACCGGAUCCAUUCAUAGAUUAGCCAUCCACAAGGGCCAAAAUCAAAACACUAGCCUGGAAGUGGGGGACGUGUUGUCACUCUAUGCAUGCGCCGGUAGUAGCUUGCCACCGCUCCGGAGGUUUAAACGGCUUCGUGUAAUAGAUUUGGAGAGCUGUGAUUUAUCCGUCAGAGAUUGCAAUCUUUAG